rnacentral:rRNA from 1 species
UAACCUGCCCAAGAGAUCGGGAUAACACCUGGAAACAGAUGCUAAUACCGGAUAACAACAGAUGAUGCCUAUCAACUGUUUAAAAGAUGGUUCUGCUAUCACUCUUGGAUGGACCUGCGGUGCAUUAGCUAGUUGGUAGGGUAACGGCCUACCAAGGCGAUGAUGCAUAGCCGAGUUGAGAGACUGAUCGGCCACAUUGGGACUGAGACACGGCCCAAAAUCCUACGGGAGGCAGCAGUC